UUCCGGUGCACCGGCUGCCGGUGUCGUGGCGUCUGCCCGCGUCGGCGGCGCCGCUGGUGUCGGAGGCGUUCUACCCGUUCACCGGGUUCC
rnacentral:tRNA from 1 species